CCUACGGGUGGCAGCAGUAGGGAAUUUUCCGCAAUGGGCGAAAGCCUGACGGAGCAAUACCGCGUGAGGGAUGAAUGCCUAUGGGUUGUAAACCUCUUUUUUCAGGGAGGAACACAAUGACGUGUACCUGAAGAAUAAGCAUCGGCUAACUCCGUGCCAGCAGCCGCGGUAAGACGGAGGAUGCAAGUGUUAUCCGGAAUCACUGGGCGUAAAGCGUCUGUAGGUGGUUUAAUAAGUCAACUGUUAAAUCUUGAGGCUCAACCUCAAAAUCGCAGUCGAAACUAUUAGACUAGAGUAUAGUAGGGGUAAAGGGAAUUUCCAGUGGAGCGGUGAAAUGCGUAGAUAUUGGAAAGAACACCGAUGGCGAAGGCACUUUACUGGGCUAUUACUGACACUCAGAGACGAAAGCUAGGGUAGCAAAUGGGAUUAGAUACCCGGGUAGUC
rnacentral:rRNA from 1 species